UACAGAGGUGGCAAGCGUUGUUCGGAAUUACUGGGCGUAAAGGGCGCGUAGGCGGCCACGCAAGUCGGAUGUGAAAUCCCUCGGCUCAACCGAGGAACUGCAUCCGAAACUGCGAGGCUCGAGUCCUGGAGAGGGUAGUGGAAUUCCCAGUGUAGCGGUGAAAUGCGUAGAUACUGGGAGGAACACCGGUGGCGAAGGCGGCUACCUGGACAGGUACUGACGCUGAUGCGCGAAAGCCAGGGGAGCAAACAGG
rnacentral:rRNA from 1 species